AGGUGGAAUUAAGAGUCUAGCGUUAGAAUGGCUCCAUGGACGGCUUUACUGGGGGAAUUUGAAGCUAAAAGGCAUUUACACUGGAGCUCCUGAUGGUAGUGCCGACAGCAAAGUCAUGUCCAAAAAUACAGACUCAACAGAUUUGGUCCUUCUCCCAACGAAAAGUUCUGUGUUUUGGAUUAACCGAGGCCCCAAUGAUGAAGUGACUUUUGAAAAAGCUGGGAUGGAUGGUUCUAUGCGCGCAACUCUGGUUUUUACCAAGAAGCAUUGCUUUGGAUGUGGUGGCCCUGCGUUUAUACUGGAUAAGCGAUUUUAAAAUGGCCAGUUCCUGUGUAAGAACAAGAGGAAGUGUAUUGAGGAGGCGUUGGUUUGUGACUGACACUCAGACUGUCCUGAUGGUUCAGAUGAAGUGUCGUGUCCUGCUUGUCCUCUGCACUGUGAUGACUGGACGGUGUGUCUGAGCAGCCAGCAGUUCUGUGGUGACAGGAUGGACUGUAGGGACGGUGUAGAUGAAAGGAACUGUGACAAAGGCAGCAGAACGGCUACAGGAUCGGCUACAGGAUCCUCAGGCCUGGUGUGUCCUGUGGGCCUCAAACCAUGUCUGGAUGCAAGUGAGUGUAUCCUGCCCAGGCGUGUGUGUGAUGGAGAGAAGGACUGCAGGGACGGGUCAGAUGAGGAGAACUGUGAUCGCAGAUGUAAUAAAGGUUCUCCAGGUUUUGCAGCCAGGGUAAAAAAAACCCCUGAAAUUUCUUGGACCCGCAGAGAUUUGUUGUAUGUUUAAGUAGUAAAAACAGUUAUUAAUUAUGUACCAAUAGCUAGUUUGUGCCAGAGCACAAUGUAAUGUAGUUUCAGUAAUGUAGUUUCAUGGAGAUUUGUCGUCAUAUAUGUUUUGCAGUAGUGUUUUGACU